rnacentral:rRNA from 1 species
UACAGAGGUGGCAAGCGUUGUUCGGAAUUACUGGGCGUAAAGCGCGUGUAGGCGGCUCUUCAAGUAAGGCGUGAAAGCCCCGGGCUCAACUCGGGAACUGCGCUUGAUACUGUCGAGCUAGAGUGUGGAAGGGGCGAUUGGAAUUCCGUGUGUAGCGGUGAAAUGCGUAGAUAUACGGAGGAACACCAGAGGCGAAGGCGGAUCGCUGGGCCAACACUGACGCUGAGACGCGAAAGCUAGGGUAGCAAACGGG